rnacentral:lncRNA from 1 species
AAAAGCUGAAUAGUGAAACUGAUUAAUAAGAAUAAAUUUGAGUCUAUAAAGCUUCAUUUCUUGUUUUUAUAUCCUAUCCCUUUGGGUCAUAUUAAUGGAAGUGUUCAUUUUUGUUACUUACAGAAGUCGUGAAAGGAAUGUGCGGUUGCAGGCAGCUGCAUUAUGUGUCCUUAUGAUUUUGGUUGAUCUGCUAAAAUGACAGUUUCAUAACAGUUCUCAGGUAUCUUCAUCCAGUUCUCUCUAGGAAGUAGAUACUAUUAAAUUGCAUAAAAGUUAUAAUUCAUAUGGGUGGUUGAAACCAUAUAAGGGGCAAGAGUCACAGAACAUACAAGAGUAGAACGAACUUUGUUUUGCAAGGAAAGAAUUCUAAAGUGAAGUGUCACUUGUUCCAGAAUAUGAAGGAGCACAGAGCAAAACGUGACUUGAGGGGAUUAUAUCAAGUUGGAGGCUUGAUUAAACUGAAUUUUAUUUGCCUUAAUUUAUGAUACCUGAUCCUUAAAAAAAUGUGUUAAAAUUUUGGCAAAUACCUUCAGUUUUAAAGGCUUAUCGUCAAGGUAACUGUUUUAAAAAGAUCUUCACUGACAAAUGUUAUGUUACUGAAACUAAAAUAUAGAAUUUUUUCUUUUAACCCUACUUCUACCUCCAUUUCUCAAAAAACUGAGAAUGCACUUCCUUGACAAAUGGGAUAUUAUUUUCCCUAGUGGCUAGAGAUGAAGAGGCUUCUCUGUAACGCUGAAAAGACGCCGCACCCGCGUACAAAUCCGCUACUACUCCACCUUGUGUUGCAGGCUCUGCGGAGGAGGAGCUCUGGUUAAUGUGUGAACUGAUUCCUUGCCUCACAGUUACGUCCACAUUGAGUAUCCAGUGCCCUGCCAAUGACUGGUCUACAGAUCUUCAUCUCCUUUUGGAAUCCAUUGCUUCCAUCUUCACCUUCAAUGCUAACUUCUGUGUUGGAGAAGUCACACUUCGUGAUGAGCUGCUGGUAUCUGUCAGGGCUGCAUAGCUCAGGACUGCCCGGCUGCAGCCAGCUGUGCCUCUGGCGAGACUGGUGGUGUGAACCUGUGGGACAUGUGCCGCAGAGGCUGCUCGCUGUCAUCGGAGGCUCUGACAGGUUUGGGCUGGGCUUGCUAUUAUGUAUCUUUUAGUACAAUAAUUUUAUGUUUAUUAAUGCUCCUUAUAGUCUUCUGAUGUCACAUUUUAAUAUACUUUAUUCUAUUUAAUAAUGCACAAUUCAUUAUUGAUCAUUUUAUUAA